CAGGCUUAACACAUGCAAGUCGAGGGGCAGCAUGGUCUUUUCUUGCUAAGGCCGAUGGCGACCGGCGCACGGGUGAGUAACACGUAUCCAACCUGCCGUCUACUCUUGGACAGCCUUCUGAAAGGAAGAUUAAUACAAGAUGGCAUCAUGAGUCCGCAUGUUCACAUGAUUAAAGGUAUUCCGGUAGACGAUGGGGAUGCGUUCCAUUAGAUAGUAGGCGGGGUAACGGCCCACCUAGUCUUCGAUGGAUAGGGGUUCUGAGAGGAAGGUCCCCCACAUUGGAACUGAGACACGGUCCAAACUCCUACGGGAGGCAGCAGUGAGGAAUAUUGGUCAAUGGGCGAGAGCCUGAACCAGCCAAGUAGCGUGAAGGAUGACUGCCCUAUGGGUUGUAAACUUCUUUUAUAAAGGAAUAAAGUCGGGUAUGGAUACCCGUUUGCAUGUACUUUAUGAAUAAGGAUCGGCUAACUCCGUGCCAGCAGCCGCGGUAAUACGGAGGAUCCGAGCGUUAUCCGGAUUUAUUGGGUUUAAAGGGAGCGUAGAUGGAUGUUUAAGUCAGUUGUGAAAGUUUGCGGCUCAACCGUAAAAUUGCAGUUGAUACUGGAUAUCUUGAGUGCAGUUGAGGCAGGCGGAAUUCGUGGUGUAGCGGUGAAAUGCUUAGAUAUCACGAAGAACUCCGAUUGCGAAGGCAGCCUGCUAAGCUGCAACUGACAUUGAGGCUCGAAAGUGUGGGUAUCAAACAGGAUUAGAUACCCUGGUAGUCCACACGGUAAACGAUGAAUACUCGCUGUUUGCGAUAUACUGCAAGCGGCCAAGCGAAAGCGUUAAGUAUUCCACCUGGGGAGUACGCCGGCAACGGUGAAACUCAAAGGAAUUGACGGGGGCCCGCACAAGCGGAGGAACAUGUGGUUUAAUUCGAUGAUACGCGAGGAACCUUACCCGGGCUUAAAUUGCAGAUGAAUUACGGUGAAAGCCGUAAGCCGCAAGGCAUCUGUGAAGGUGCUGCAUGGUUGUCGUCAGCUCGUGCCGUGAGGUGUCGGCUUAAGUGCCAUAACGAGCGCAACCCUUGUUGUCAGUUACUAACAGGUUCCGCUGAGGACUCUGACAAGACUGCCAUCGUAAGAUGUGAGGAAGGUGGGGAUGACGUCAAAUCAGCACGGCCCUUACGUCCGGGGCUACACACGUGUUACAAUGGGGGGUACAGAGGGCCGCUACCACGCGAGUGGAUGCCAAUCCCCAAAACCUCUCUCAGUUCGGACUGGAGUCUGCAACCCGACUCCACGAAGCUGGAUUCGCUAGUAAUCGCGCAUCAGCCACGGCGCGGUGAAUACGUUCCCGGGCCUUGUACACACCGCCCGUCAAGCCAUGGGAGCCGGGGGUACCUGAAGUGCGUAACCGCGAGGAGCGCCCUAGGGUAAAACUGGUGACUGGGGC
rnacentral:rRNA from 1 species